rnacentral:rRNA from 1 species
UACGAAGGGGGCUAGCGUUGUUCGGAAUUACUGGGCGUAAAGCGCGCGUAGGCGGUGAUCCAUGUCAGAGGUGAAAUCCCAGGGCUUAACCCUGGAAUUGCCUUUGAAACGGGAUCGCUAGAGUCCGAGAGAGGAUGGCGGAAUUCCUAGUGUAGAGGUGAAAUUCGUAGAUAUUAGGAAGAACACCGGUGGCGAAGGCGGCCAUCUGGCUCGGUACUGACGCUCGAGGCGCGAAAGCGUGGGGAGCAAACAAGG